rnacentral:rRNA from 1 species
GUUAUAUGGUCAAGUGAAGAAGCGCAUACGGUGGAUGCCUUGGCAGUCAGAGGCGAUGAAAGACGUGGUAGCCUGCGAAAAGCUUCGGGGAGUCGGCAAACAGACUUUGAUCCGGAGAUGUCUGAAUGGGGGAACCCAGCCAUCAUAAGAUGGUUAUCUUGUACUGAAUACAUAGGUGCAAGAAGCGAACCAGGGGAACUGAAACAUCUAAGUACCCUGAGGAAAAGAAAUCAACCGAGAUUCCCUUAGUAGUGGCGAGCGAACGGGGACUAGCCCUUAAGUGGCUUUGAGAUUAGCGGAACGCUCUGGAAAGUGCGGCCAUAGUGGGUGAUAGCCCUGUACGCGAAAAUCUCUUAGUCAUGAAAUCGAGUAGGACGGAGCACGAGAAACUUUGUCUGAAUAUGGGGGGACCAUCCUCCAAGGCUAAAUACUACUGACUGACCGAUAGUGAACUAGUACCGUGAGGGAAAGGCGAAAAGAACCCCGGAGAGGGGAGUGAAAUAGAUCCUGAAACCGUAUGCGUACAAGCAGUGGGAGCAGACUUUGUUCUGUGACUGCGUACCUUUUGUAUAAUGGGUCAGCGACUUAUUUUCAGUGGCGAGCUUAACCGAAUAGGGGAGGCGUAGCGAAAGCGAGUCUUAAUAGGGCGUCUAGUCGCUGGGAAUAGACCCGAAACCGGGCGAUCUAUCCAUGGGCAGGUUGAAGGUUGGGUAACACUAACUGGAGGACCGAACCGACUACCGUUGAAAAGUUAGCGGAUGACCUGUGGAUCGGAGUGAAAGGCUAAUCAAGCUCGGAGAUAGCUGGUUCUCCUCGAAAGCUAUUUAGGUAGCGCCUCAUGUAUCACUGUAGGGGGUAGAGCACUGUUUCGGCUAGGGGGUCAUCCCGACUUACCAAACCGAUGCAAACUCCGAAUACCUACAAGUGCCGAGCAUGGGAGACACACGGCGGGUGCUAACGUCCGUCGUGAAAAGGGAAACAACCCAGACCGUCAGCUAAGGUCCCAAAGUUAUGGUUAAGUGGGAAACGAUGUGGGAAGGCUUAGACAGCUAGGAGGUUGGCUUAGAAGCAGCCACCCUUUAAAGAAAGCGUAAUAGCUCACUAGUCGAGUCGGCCUGCGCGGAAGAUGUAACGGGGCUCAAACCAUACACCGAAGCUACGGGUAUCACGUAAGUGAUGCGGUAGAGGAGCGUUCUGUAAGCCUGUGAAGGUGAGUUGAGAAGCUUGCUGGAGGUAUCAGAAGUGCGAAUGCUGACAUGAGUAACGACAAUGGGUGUGAAAAACACCCACGCCGAAAGACCAAGGUUUCCUGCGCAACGUUAAUCGACGCAGGGUUAGUCGGUCCCUAAGGCGAGGCUGAAAAGCGUAGUCGAUGGAAAACAGGUUAAUAUUCCUGUACUUCUGGUUAUUGCGAUGGAGGGACGGAGAAGGCUAGGCCAGCUUGGCGUUGGUUGUCCAAGUUUAAGGUGGUAGGCUGAGAUCUUAGGUAAAUCCGGGAUCUUAAGGCCGAGAGCUGAUGACGAGUUA